GCGGAAACGAUGCAGACGCUGCACGGAAAAAUCAAGAAAACGUCAUCUAAAAUAAUGCUUUGAACUUUAGGAUUGUGGCACAUAAUUAUGGAGUACGGUUUAACUUACUGGAGAGGAUCCUUGAAGAAUCACCAUGAAAAGUUUUGCAACAGUUCACGGACCUCUGACAGAUGAUACUCCAUAGUUAAUUGCUAGUUUAACAAGGACAGUGGUUCUAGCUAGGAGUUCUAGCUAGGAGUUGAAGUUUGGCACCAGAAAUGACCAAAAGUUCCAUUUAUGGAUGUGAAGUCAAAAUGAAGGAUUGUUUGGAAAAAGAACAAAAGACAGUUUUGUAAGGUUUACGCUACCUGCCUUGACUGUUAGGCCUGCCAGAGCUCAAGCCAUUAACCACCAAGGUUGCUGAAAAAGUCGCAUCAUACUAUUUCUUGUUUAAAGCUAUUCACUCAGAGACGUACAGAAACUUAUGAUCUUAUUUUUAGAAAGAUGUUGUUGCAUGAUGUGUUAGAACAUAGACUAGAGCAAACAAGAGAAGCUUUUGAAGAUAGGUUAAUAUCUUCUCUAUUGCAAUAUCAGAUCUGUUGCAUCCUUAGAUCUGCUGCCACAUGAAAGACAAUGCCACAUGAAAUAUGCUUCAACAUUAGAUCUACUCUAAUGCCAUGCAAAAUUUACUGCCACCAAAUAGACUACCAAGUGAGAUCCACUGCCACAUGGAAUAUGCAAGCAAGUGAGAUCCACUGCCACAUGGAAUAUACUAGCAAGUGAGAUCCACUGCUACAUGGAAUAUACUAGCAAGUGAGAUCCACUGCCACAUGGAAUAUACUACCAAGUGAGAUCCACUGCCACAUGGAAUAUACUUCCAAGUGAGAUCCGCUGCUACAUGGAAUAUACUAGCAGGUGAGAUCCACUGCCACAUAGAAUAUGCAAGCAAGUGAGAUCCACUGCCACAUGGAAUAUACUACCAAGUGAGAUCCACUGCCACAUGGAAUAUACUACCAAGUGAGAUCCACUGCCACAUGGAAUAUGCUACCAUGUAAGAUCUACUGUAAUGUCACGAGAGAUCUA